rnacentral:rRNA from 1 species
UACAGAGGGGGCAAGCGUUGUUCGGAAUUACUGGGCGUAAAGGGCUCGUAGGCGGUCCGUCACGUCGGGAGUGAAAACUCAGGGCUCAACCCUGAGCGUGCUUCCGAUACGGGCGGACUAGAGGUAUGCAGGGGAGAACGGAAUUCCUGGUGUAGCGGUGGAAUGCGCAGAUAUCAGGAGGAACACCGGUGGCGAAGGCGGUUCUCUGGGCAUUACCUGACGCUGAGGAGCGAAAGCAUGGGGAGCGAACAGG